rnacentral:rRNA from 1 species
UAGGGAAUCUUCGGCAAUGGACGAAAGUCUGACCGAGCAACGCCGCGUGAGUGAAGAAGGUUUUCGGAUCGUAAAACUCUGUUGUUAGAGAAGAACAAGGACGUUAGUAACUGAACGUCCCCUGACGGUAUCUAACCAGAAAGCCACGGCUAACUACGUGCCAGCAGCCGCGGUAAUACGUAGGUGGCAAGCGUUGUCCGGAUUUAUUGGGCGUAAAGCGAGCGCAGGCGGGUUCUUAAGUCUGAUGUGAAAGCCCCCGGCUCAACCGGGGAGGGUCAUUGGAAACUGGUAGACUUGAGUGCAGAAGAGGAGAGUGGAAUUCCAUGUGUAGCGGUGAAAUGCGUAGAUAUAUGGAAGAACACCAGUGGCGAAGGCGGCUCUGUGGUCUGUAACUGACGCUGAGGCUCGAAAGCGUGGGGAGCAAACAGG